GCAUUUUUGGUGUCCAUGACAGGAAUUUUAAAUUUGGGUAGCAGAAGCUACAAAAGCUUUAGGGGUUUAAUCUAAACGCACAACUCUUACUAUUUUUUCAAUACAUAUAUAUCUUCAUCAAUACAUUAUUAUGGGAUAUCCUUACGUAAAUGGAGAGAAUGCACAGUCAGUAACAGUAGAAGU